GGGCGGUUAGCUCAGUGGGAGAGCAUCACGUUGACAUCGUGAGGGUCGCUGGUUCAAUCCCAGUACCGCCCACCA
rnacentral:tRNA from 1 species